rnacentral:rRNA from 1 species
GCGUGUGUGAAGAAGGCCUGCGGGUUGUAAAGCACUUUCAAUUGGGAAGAAAGGUUUAGAGUUAAUACCUUUAAAUGUUGACGUUACCAAUAGAAGAAGCACCGGCUAACUCUGUGCCAGCAGCCGCGGUAAUACAGAGGGUGCGAGCGUUAAUCGGAAUUACUGGGCGUAAAGAGUACGUAGGUGGUUAAAUCAGUCGGAUGUGAAAGCCCCGGGCUUAACUUGGGAAUUGCAUUCGAUACUGUUUGACUAGAGUACGGUAGAGAGAAGCGGAAUUCCUAGUGUAGCGGUGAAAUGCGU